GUUUUUAAACUAUGAACCGUUUAAUGUUCUGCGCUCCAGUAGCUGAGAUAUCCCAAAAUGGCUUGAUAUUCAGGAAAGUCUGACUUAAACUUCAAGUCUUUUAGGAAUUCGGCGGUUGUUUCGGGGUCUUUGGUUAGAUUUUUGAAAUGUUGAAUGACAUGUUCAUGAAGGUCUAGUUUCAUGACGCGUAUAGCUUCGGUGAAUUGUUUCGAAACCGUUUGAUGUUCGAUCACUCGCUUUACUGCUUCCGAUCCAUGCAUUAUCCAUCCCUCUUCUUCGGACAUCAUGAGGCAAUCAUGUCUUUUCUGACUUGGAUGAUUGACUUCACAACCACAGCAUUUUUCUUUUCGAAGUUUAUGGACUUGACAGUCAACGGCUUCCGAAAAGAUAGCAUUCAUUAGAUUACACAGGUUUCUGAUUUCCCAAGGCACAACUUCGUCUACGUUCAAGCGCUUUGCCCAGAACACUUGCUCACACGA